rnacentral:rRNA from 1 species
UACGUAGGUGACAAGCGUUGUCCGGAUUUACUGGGCGUAAAGAGCGCGCAGGCGGUCGAUCAAGUCGAGUGUGAAAGCCCCCGGCUCAACUGGGGAGGGUCAUUCGAUACUGAUCGACUCGAAGGCAGGAGAGGGUAGUGGAAUUCCCGGUGUAGUGGUGAAAUGCGUAGAUAUCGGGAGGAACACCGGUGGCGAAGGCGGGUCUCUGGGCCGGAACUGACGCUAAGGAGCGAAAGCGUGGGGAGCGAACAGG